rnacentral:rRNA from 1 species
UGCCAGCCGCCGCGGUAAGACAGAGGGUGCAAGCGUUAAUCGGAUUUACUGGGCGUAAAGGGUGCGUAGGCGGACAGGCAAGUCAGGUGUGAAAUUCCGGUACUCAAUAUCGGAGCUGCACUUGAAACUACCUGUCUAGAGGAUAGGCGGAGAGAACGGAAUUCCGUAUGUAGCGGUGGAAUGCGUAGAUAUACGGAAGAACACCUGUGGCGAAAGCGGUUCUCUAGCUUAUUUCUGACGCUGAGGCACUAGAGCGUGGGGAGCGAACAGGAUUAGAUA